AUUGAACGCUGGCGGAAUGCUUUACACAUGCAAGUCGAACGGCAGCACGGGGCAACCUGGUGGCGAGUGGCGAACGGGUGAGUAAUACAUCGGAACGUGCCCAAUCGUGGGGGAUAACGUAGCGAAAGUUACGCUAAUACCGCAUACGAUCUACGGAUGAAAGCGGGGGAUCGCAAGACCUCGCGCGAAUGGAGCGGCCGAUGUCAGAUUAGGUAGUUGGUGGGGUAAAGGCUCACCAAGCCAACGAUCUGUAGCUGGUCUGAGAGGACGACCAGCCACACUGGAACUGAGACACGGUCCAGACUCCUACGGGAGGCAGCAGUGGGGAAUUUUGGACAAUGGGCGCAAGUCUGAUCCAGCCAUUCCGCGUGCAGGAUGAAGGCCUUCGGUUGUAAACUGCUUUGUACGAAAAACCCCCGACCGUAGUCGGGGCGUGAUGGUACCGUAAGAAUAAGGAUCGGCUAACUCCGUG
rnacentral:rRNA from 1 species